GUGGUCGCUUCAGCAGCACAUAUACUAAAAUUGGAACGAUACAGAGAAGAUUAGCAUGGCCCCUGCACAAGGAUGACACGCAAAUUUGUGAAGUGUUCCAUAUUUUU
rnacentral:snRNA from 1 species